rnacentral:lncRNA from 1 species
AAAAUAAGGCCGGGCCCAGUUAAGGUCCAAUCUGCCAGGCACCCUCCCUCCCCGCGGCCGGCGCCGCCGCCGCCGCCGCCGCGCCAUGCCCGCCGGUGCUCCCCGACUCCGGUCGCCGAAUCGAGCCCGCUCUCCCGCCCGGCCUGAUCCCUCGCGCUCACCGUAGAAUCAUUUCCGCGCCAAUGCGCGAUCUUCUGUUCCUGCCUGCCGCUCUAGGAUAACCGUCUCCACUUCCAUUUGGGAAACCCUAGAAGUUUAUGCGGAUACGGCCGACGGCCUCGGAUGAUCCAGUGAUCUGCUGUCCAGAGGUAAAUCGAGCAAAUCCAUAGCCAAGCUCCUAUUUCUCCACCAAAGUUUCAGGGAAAAUCUUGCAAUUUUUCGCGACAAAUUUAUUGUUAGGUUAGCUUUAGUUUGCUCCACAUUUUGCCCUUGGAUUUCAAAGCUUAAACACAGUUGAACCGAACUGACCAAGAUAUAGAUCAUCUCGGCUUUAUUAACUGCUGCUGCAGUAGUUAUGUGCUCACUUUGUAAUCCAACCAUCCAAUUGUUCAAUUGCUGCUAAUUAAAGUGCCAAUUUUUGCAGAAAUAAAAGACUGAAGGAUUUCGGCCUAGCUGUUCUGCAUGCAGAAAACCAUAUCUGUAGUUUUUUCAUGAGAGAUCCCCAGUUAUUGCUAGUGUAGUAGUGUUGAUUAUAUUCCAUCUGUAAUAUAAUUUACCAGACCAAAAAACAUUAACUACCGAAGUACUAGCAUUAUUUCUGAGGGAGCAAAUAACAAGCCUCCUUCAGGAGGCUUUUGGAAGAAAUUGAUAAAAAAAAACAAACCAAGGUAAAUACUGAAAAUAAAAUUACAAUGUGUUCCGACAAGAUUGAUUUAUUGACACAACUUUGGCGCUUCCGUUCAAAAGUCUUACAUAAGUGCAUUAUGUAAAUUUUAUAUCUGCAAAAAGGUGGCUUCUCUUAACACACAAACACCUUCCAAUUUAAUCUCUCUGCUUAUGUACUUGAAUGACAGGUAUGCUGCAUUCAGUUAUUGCUGUUGAUUGAUCUGGCUUAAGCUUGGGCUAUAAGAAAUCAUCAGACCAUGGCCGGAGAUAGUGACAGCUAUCAUUGUGUCACAGGUCUUGGUUGGUUUGCGACCUAACUGAAGUAGAGCUAGAAAAACCUUGAUAGGACAAUCUGAUCAUAUAACACCC